UGGAUGGUUGUGGUUGGCAGGCUCCGUGCUCGUGCAUCGAACUGUUGACGCUCCAUCUGCUUCAAUCUUUCCCCAAGUGAAGCUCCUUCCUUGUGGGUUCGCGUCAUUAUCCUGUGUUGCUUACCACUGAAAUGGAAUUUGAUAGUCUUGUUACGCGGAUUCGCCUUGUGCUCUUUGGGGUGCGAGGUKKACAUGCGGCGAGCACUGUGAUYCCAACAUSCCAAGUGCAUUGGUGUUUGGUUGUUGYGGCYUNUUGUGUYUUCGCUUGUUCUNUCGGAUGCSGAAAGCUAAGUGUGGGCAUGAGGUCUUKACCUUGAAUCGUCCAAGCACUGUCUUUUGACU
rnacentral:misc_RNA from 1 species